AUACUUACCGGGUAAGAUAGGCACCAUGGUGACGAAGGUGGUUUUCUCAUGUGAUGAUUAUCCUUUGCACACCAGACAUGUCGAACCCUGUGAUUUCCUCAAGUUCAGGGAACUCAACUGCAUAAUUUGUGAUAGUUGGGGGACUGGGUUUGUGCUCUUCCCUA